GCUGAAACAAUAACUGACAGGGUGUCUCUCCUAUGUUAAUUGUUAACUCAAAGGACUGCCCUAGGACAUUGAAAAUGCCCCUGCUGUUAACUGUUUAUUGCAGAGGAAGGAGGGGGAGACAUGAUCCUGCCUCUUCAGAUCCCAGAAAGCAUGGAUUGCAAAACGAAAGGUAAGAAAUGAAUUUUCACAGAGAAAAUUCACACUACCUAUCAAAAAGUCCCUAAUACAACCCCUUAUACUUCAUGGCACUUUAAGAAAUUCAGCAUCUUGACCAAGUUAUGAUCCUCUCCUGCUGUUGCACUGAGGAAAAGAAGUGAGAAGCUAAAAGAACCAGAGCACAAUCCAAGUGGGAAUGAAGACAAACAGCGAUGACACCAGAGUUGGUUUUCUCUUGCUUUCCUGAGGCAAGUACUGUCCCAGUGCCCUGUGAUGCUGUGAGAUGUGGAACACAACCAAACCCUCCAGCCACUUCAGUUUACGUUUUAGGCAGAUGGGAUUCUGGCUUUUCUAUUUCAAUUCAUGCAAACUGCAUAUUUUCACAAGAUUUAUCUUAAGGUAUUUGACAAGAUUUGAUAAAACAUCAGUAAUUUCAUCUUAUUAAUUAUUCACAAAUAUUUUAAUGACAUUUCAUUUAGGUGAUUACUGAUAGAAACUCAUAACCUGACACUUCAUUUUUGCAGUAAUACAAAAUUAAGCACCAAAUCAUUAAUAAUAAUUAAUUAACAACGAUUACAUCAUGCUUAUGUUUUCAAAGGCUAUUUAGAGGACAUUCAUACAGCCCCAACAGAUAUGUUUGGUUUACUCAGUUUGUUCAGAGGGCACCAGUAACUGACCCAGGUUUGGGGUUGGGCCACUCAGAAAUGUACUGGCAAGCCUUCUCAGAAUUUUUCUUCUAUCCUUAUCUUACACAAGCAUCCUAAUCAUGUCAUAUUACCACUAAAAGCUAGACUCUACUGAAUUAUUUUCA